CAAGUUGCGUUCUUUAGCCUUACAUCUUGGCCUGCGCAUCAGGAUUGGGGUCUGGGUACGAAUCUAGAAGCACGAAAGCUGGAGGAAGAGACCAAAGAUCUUAGAUCAGGGGAUAGGGACAUAGCUCCUGAGGCCGGCUGGAUUUCGCAUCAAGCGAAACCUUCGACUCCAGAACCGGGGGUGGGGUGUCCUCUCGGAGGGGGCUUGGUAGCCCCUGCCACUCAUCCCUGACAAGUGUCGAGGAAGGGUGUUUCACCAUGGCUGAGGCCACGGAGCCCAAGGAGAUCGCUCUUGGUCCCCAGGGGCAACCUGAAGCUGCGAAGAUUGAGGGUCUAGAAGAACCUGGGACUGCAGACCCGGAGGGGCGGGAAGCGAGCAAGGGAACUGCAGAGGCACCCAGGGAGCAGGAAGCGGGCGCAGAAGCGACUGCCUCGGGCAGUGGGCCGGACGGAGGGAUCGGGGGAGCGCAGGCGCAGGACCGGCAGACUGACCCCUGGACUGAGACUCCGGGCGCGAGUGGAGAGCAGGGUGAAGUUGAGGCUGCAGAACGAGACCCAGAGGGCGCCGGGGUCCUGCAGGGAGCGGAGGAGGAGCCGGUCGCCCAGCAGGUGCGAGAGCCGAGCCCUGGGCUCGGCGAGCCGGGCGAGGCCCGGGAAAUCCCUGGGGCCGAUCGCCAGCAGCCGGAGGACCCUACGAGCUCAGAGGCGUGGAAGGAGGUAGAGUCCAGUCUGGAAGAGCAGGGAGGCAGUGCACCAGGGUCGCAGAUCAAUACUGAAGCCCAGGGACCUGCAGGGUACAGCAUGGACACAGAUGCACCAGUAGGAGAGGCACAGGAGUCAGGGGGUGAGCAUCAGGGUGGAGGGGAAAGCAGCUCAGAGCCCCAGGCUGAGGCGACUGAGGUCGCAGCCACAAAAGUCGAAGAGCACGACCCCAGGGAGCUGGCGGGAACUCCCACCGCAGAUGCCGCGGGGGAAUCGGGAGCCCUGGGGAAAGACGGGUCGGAAGAAGCAGCUCCCGAGGAGGCCAGGGUAGACGCUGGAGAGAAUGGGAAGCAGGGCGAACUCCAGGAGGAGACCGGGGAGGAAGAAGCGAGGCCAGAACGAGGGUUGGAGGGACGCUGUGAGGAGGGCGUCCAGGAGAAGCUCCCCGACGGCAGCCCUGAUGAGGAGGAGGCCAAAUCCACCCGGCACGACCAGUCCCAGGCGGAGCUCAGCAUCAACAACCACCUUACUGAGGAGCCCAGCGCUCAGGGCGGAGAAGAAUUGGAACAAGUGAAUGGCCGCAGGCAGAAUGGCCCCGCGUCCGAGGUGGGGGAGCCGGGACAGGAGCACGACAUCACCCUCUUUGUCAAGGCUGGUUAUGAUGGCGAGAGCAUUGGAAACUGCCCGUUUUCUCAGCGUCUCUUCAUGAUCCUCUGGCUAAAGGGUGUGAUAUUCAAUGUGACGACAGUGGACUUGAAAAGGAAGCCUGCAGACCUUCAGAACCUGGCUCCCGGGACGAACCCUCCUUUCAUGACUUUUGAUGGUGAAGUCAAGACCGACGUGAAUAAGAUUGAGGAGUUCUUAGAGGAGAAGUUAGUUCCCCCAAGGUACCCUAAGCUGGGAACCCAACAUCCUGAAUCCAACUCGGCAGGAAAUGAUGUUUUUGCCAAAUUCUCAGCAUUUAUUAAAAACACCAAGAAGGAUGCAAACGAAAUUUAUGAAAAGAACCUGCUACGGGCCCUACAGAAGCUGGACAACUACUUGAACAGCCCGCUGCCAGAUGAAAUAGAUGCCGACAGCACAGAGGAUGUCACCGUUUCCCGAAGGAAGUUUCUGGAUGGGGACGAGCUCACGCUGGCCGACUGUAACCUCCUACCCAAGCUCCACAUCAUUAAGAUUGUGGCCAAGAAAUACAGAGAUUUUGAGUUUCCUUCCGAAAUGACUGGCAUUUGGAGGUACUUAAACAACGCCUACGCCCGGGAUGAGUUCACUAACACGUGUCCAGCUGACCAGGAGAUUGAGCACGCGUAUUCAGAUGCAGCCAGAAGGAUGAAAUGAUGUUGGGUUGCUUCCUGUCUUUUUCGCAGAUGAGUGAGCGAGGCUUCCUGGAGAACCUUCUCUGCAUCUUCCCAGAAAGGGCUUCUGCAAAAUGCCACUGCAGGAUGCCCGGCCUUGCAAUUUGUCUGCUCAUUCCUCCGUCUCAGCUAUGCUAAUUUAUGCCUUUGAGAUUCAGUUCUCUUGUAAUCCAAGUUUAGGGAGAUCUGUUUUGUGCUCUGUUUCAAAGCAUAGUGGCAUUGACUUCCGCCUCGUCCAUUUUAAAGAAGUUAGUCUUUCCUUCAUAGUUUUGAUAAUCACAAAGAUAGCUAAGUCUUCUCUUCUUACAUAUUUGCUUAAAAUGAGAGGGUGUUUUAUAUUUAUAAUACUUUAGAACCGUGUUAAAGGAUAUGAAGAAGAAAGUAAAAAUCACCUAAAACUUAUGCUAUAUAACUCCUGAUAACAAAUUGGUGAAUAUUUCUAGAAUUUUCAGUCUUUCAUGUAUGCCUGUAUGUGUGCACGCACACACAUAUAUAUGCACAUCACAUAAUUUCAUUCAUUCGUGGUGUGGCAUUUGUAGGAGGUUGAUGAGGGGCCCUCUUGAUGCCUUGGUGGUCAUCACAGGAGACUUAAAACAAAGAAAUUGUCCCUUCCGAGCAACACAAGGACUGUAGGUCCACCUGAGAGCCAAGAGACAGCUGGAACUAGGAUGAUGGGACCAGGUGUCCUCUCUUUCCCUGCAGAGCCAAGGGACAGCUGGAACUAGGGUGAUGGGACCAGGGUGUCCUCUCUUGCCCUGAAGAUUCUGUGGCCUCUGAGUCCAGGAGAGGUGUGGGGAAGAGGGUUCCCCUGUGCCCUUUGUUCUAGCUUCCUUCCUGGUUCCUUCUCUUCUCUCUUCUCCUGAGGAACUGUGUCUUCACAGGAGCUCUUCCAGUCAGCGGCAGCUUGGAGAAUCUUCCUGUCUGUUGUCAUGUGAGCCUAUGAUUUUUGCUCAUAGCAGUUCUUUAGUGAGGAGGAUGUGGUUGAGGCUAGCUCAUCCAUGACUACUUUCUGUCUCAUUCUGAAGCCAAGUAGGAAAACUAAAUUCCAGAAUAAAACCCAGAAAGUCCAACUCUUGAGCAAUUUUGGAAAACGGUCCUUUAACGAGGAGCGGAGGAGUGUUUCGUCUACCGUGGCAUUCCCUCCGUCAUCCCCGUGGCCACCUUACCUCAUAGCAAGGCCCGCGGGCAGGCUGCUUGGCUCCAGCUCAGGCAGGGAUGUGAGGUCGCUUAGAUACUCUGCAAGACUUCUCAAGUUUGUCCCUCCACAGUCACAGGUCCUACAGGAAGCGUCUCUUGUAGCCUUGGCUGAGAAGUACGGUGGGCGCUGGAAUCCUCGUACAUAGUCUGCUCAGUGGACGAUUUGUUUGGAUGCCUUAAAGCAGUAAGAUCCAGGACUGGGUGGAGAAUGUCUUGUAAGGACCCAAAGUCCAAUAUGGAAGCUGCUUUAUUUCUUUGUUUCUUAGAAGCUCUGGCUUCAGCCCAGCAGUCGGUUUCUUUUUCACAGGAAGGAGUCAUGUCUAGCCCUUGUCACCGCGGCCCACAUUAUUUCGUGCCUCUUUAUAGGAGUCAGUUUCUAGAUCCUGCUUUUACAAAGUGGGGUUCAUACUUGGUUAAUGGGUAGAAGUUAGGGUGUUCGUCCUGUUAAUUUUGUUCUGUUAGAUAUUAGGAUGAUCACCAACUGUGUGCCUUAUGAA